rnacentral:rRNA from 1 species
AGAGUUUGAUCAUGGCUCAGAACGAACGCUGGCGGCGCGCCUAACACAUGCAAGUCGCACGAGAAAGCGGGAGCAAUCUCGCAAGUACAGUGGCGUACGGGUGAGUAACACGUGGAUCAUCUACCCUGGAGUGGGGAAUAACGCUGGGAAACCGGCGCUAAUACCGCAUAUUCCCGAGAGGGGAAAGCAGCAAUGCGCUCGAGGAGGAGUCCGCGGCCGAUUAGCUAGUUGGUAGGGUAAAAGCCUACCAAGGCUGUGAUCGGUAGCCGGCCUGAGAGGGCACACGGCCACACUGGCACUGAAACACGGGCCAGACUCCUACGGGAGGCAGCAGUGGGGAAUCUUGCACAAUGGGGGAAACCCUGAUGCAGCGACGCCGCGUGAGCGAUGAAGCCCUUCGGGGUGUAAAGCUCUUUCGGCAGGGAAGAUUAUGACGGUACCUGCAGAAGCAGCUGCGGCUAACUACGUGCCAGCAGCCGCGGUAAUACGUAGGCAGCAAGCGUUGUUCGGAGUUACUGGGCGUAAAGGGUGUGUAGGCGGCCUGUUAAGUUCCGUGUGAAAUCUCCCGGCUCAACCGGGAGGGUGCGCGGAAAACUGGCGGGCUAGAGUGCGGGAUGGGAGAGUAGAAUUCCUGGUGUAGCGGUGAAAUGCGUAGAUAUCAGGAGGAAUACCGGUGGUGUAGACGGCUCUCUGGACCGCAACUGACGCUGAAACACGAAAGCGUGGGUAGCAAACAGGAUUAGAUACCCUAGUAGUCC